GAAAACCCUCUUCUAGCCUGUGGAUAGCAGACCUCUUGUAUUCUUGAUCAGUAUGCCUCUAUUUGACUGUAACUAUUUCCAGACCUCCUGCCUGCUUGGUUUGCCUAUAGUGCAGGCCGAGCCACAAUAGCGUCCCGCCGCGCUGCUCCGGCUGCCUCCAUGCUUUCAGGCAGAGCAGAGCCUCGCUGCCGUGGUGAUUCAUUAUUCCGUUGCCCCCAGUGACCGGGAGCAGGCCAAGCCCCCUCCUGCCAAACAGGCCACUAAGUGGCAAGAGACGAAAUGAGUGACAUUUCCUAAAUGUUCUGACCUUUGUUUUCCCAUUGAGUCAGUUGCCAUGUAGGAGAAAAAAGUAGUGUGCGCUCUGAAAGUAGUGUGCGCACAUACGCUUUUGAGCUGUUUGUUUUGCUACUGUUUGUUUUUCUAGUUAAAACACUCAUCUGUUAGCGCGCCAUGAUGUAUUGAUAUUUAAGUUAGGGAUUGCAUGAAUCUAAUAAAACACAAAGAAGUAAUAUCACAAUGUGAAAGAAUGCGUUUUAAUAAAUGAACAAUUCAAUAAAAGAAUCUUUAUGACACUAAAGAACCCUAACAACCGAAUAAAGAACCCAUAACCGAACCCUCUCCAUCCACUUCAAAUUUUCUUUAAAUUAUGAAAUAUUUUUGGCGAACCAUUUUUGGUUCUUCCAUGGAUGUUUGCGGUUCUUCGCGAAACCAUAUAGAAACCAACUAAAAAGCUUUAUUUUCAAGCCCAUACGUGACCUGGGCAUGUUUCAUAAGACCCACCUAUGGAAUUUUAUUAGCUUACAGAAAUAACAACUCGAUGAAUUUAUGAGAGAUCACGGCUAAUCUACUUUCAAAAAUGACGUGUUUUAAAUGCAGAUUUUGACGCUUGCUUUUGUUCUCAGAAGUCACGCGGUAUCGGACCCACCCCGCGUGCCCGAGAGUCCGCAUUUGUCGCGCGUUAUAAAUGGCGUUGAUCUCGCGCUGCGCUGCGUGCGUCUCGAAUCUAAACCACGGUCGCCACUUUAAGCCGCUGACUCCAGACCUCGAUAAUAACAUCCUGACUGCCCACCGGAGCCCCAGAAAUCAAGCUUGCUACGGACGCUAGCGCUGUAGCGGCUGCUCGGCGAGACCUGUCGGUCACACAGAGCCGCGCACCCGCCGCGCUCGGACCAGCGCUAAUUGGUUGACUAAUUGAACUCUGCGUGCGGCUGCCCUCCGUUCUCGGUAAUCAACAUGUGUUUCAGGCGGUGGAAGAUUUCUCAAACUUCGGCUAUUAUUUUUUAUGGCCAUUUCAUAUUCUUGGCUUUUAAUGUUCAGACACUAAUAAGCUAUUCAUAUUCGUCUUAUUUAAAUAUCUAUAUAGUUUAAAAGACUUUUUACAGCUCGUUGGGUGUUCUCUGCUUGUUUAUUUACUGGUCAGCUCAAAAUGUACCUGAUCACCAAGGCUGCAGCAAAUACACAACAGCAUUUCCAGUCUAUCAGAUAGAAUUUCUCAGAAACCCUCUAUCAUGAAAGAUUAACGUUUGUAAAAUAGUAAACUCCUAUUUGAAAGAAUGUUCUUCAGAGACCCCCUGGAGAAAUUGAAGGGACCCUCGGGUAGAAAACUCCGGACGCAUUAAACAUUAAGACUAUUAUUUUCUUUAAAAUGACUGAUAUGUUCCUCUCUGGUGCUGCGUUUCCACACAGUAGCAUCACAAAUUAGAUCAUUUUUAUAUGUGUAAUGUAAUAUAGAUCAUAUUAGUAUAUCUAUUGUCGAUAUAGCUUUUGAAAUAUGAUUUGUAUUGAUCCCCCUACACAAACACACACCAUAUGUACAUAUAUAAAUAGAGAAAAAGAGCGAGAGUUAAACUCUGUUAAGCUACGUGAUCUUUGAAAAUGCAACCUCAGAAUUUAGAGACCCAAACACACAAAGUCUCUGUCUCUCUUCACUCCUCACCUGUCUCUAUCUUUCUCUUUCAGCUCUUUCUUUCCCUUCUUCUUGGCUUCCCUUAUUCUCUGUUCUGUGGUUUGGCAUCUCUCCAUAGAAUAGGAUUCAGGAAGUUUGGCUGGCUGCGCAACCAUUUCAUAUGCCUGUUUUACAGGGAAAGCAGUAUUUGUCUUUGUGUGAGAGACAGUCACCUUCAUCUCCACACAAAAUCCUGUGUCUACAGCCGACCCUGACCUCUCUGUCACCCGCGUGAUUCACCAGGUGCUGUACUGCAUGAGUGGAGGAAUCUAGCCACGGCUCUGAAAUGUGAAGAUGGAUGUUGCAGUUAUUUCUAUGGACACUGAUGCAAUCAAGUGGAGAUUCAUCGCUUUGACCAGUGGAGAUGAUCAAACGGAAGGACUCUGGAGAACUGAGUGGAGGUUAUUUAUGAUACAGAGAUUGACUUUGCACUAUGCACUGCCACCACAAACACACAAAUCAAAAUCAUUUUGUUUCAGGAUUCUGUUUAACAUGCUUGAUUUCUGAACAGUCCUUUUAUUAGGUGUGAAUGUCCAUUAGUCUAAUUAAGAAAGCAGGGCUUAAAAUUUACUACAUUGAUUUUUCGACAAAAAAAAAAAAAAAAGAAGAAGAAGCAGCAGGUUUUAGACAUUGAUGGGCUUUUUUUCUUUACUUGCUAGCAGUCAGGUACACUGAGGGAGGCUAAUUACCUCCAUAACAAUAGGAAAUAACUAAAUGGACUCAUAAUGACUUACAUUCAGAGUAAAGACAAUGACCUGAGUCUCAUCAUCCAAUCCAACCACAUACUGUAGAGUGAGAUGAGAGAUACUACAAUUCAACCAUCUGCCCAAUCGGAUCAGAGCAAUCAGCUUCCUAAACCAUUCGCUCAUUCGGCUGAGGCUCAUUUCAUACCUUUUAACCUCUCCUUGCUCCCCAGGCUUGGCUUUUAGUAUGACAGACAAAGUGUGUAGGGAGUAUCUAAUGGAAUGGACCCAGCGGGGUGCGGGCUGCUUUUGGGACUGAGCCGGGGCCUAAUGUCAGGUGAACAGGAAUAUGCAGCAAGGUAGAGAGUGAGCGACCCGGGGUACCCCGCUCUUAGUGAGGGGGAAAAAAAAGUGCUACAAUACUGAUUUCUUAACAACUUCUUUCACUGUCUUACUCAUUUUCUUCCUAUUUUACCCUACCAUCUUCACUCCUCGAUUCUCUCCCCUCUCUCUCUGUAUCAUUCAAACGUUUGGAGUUAGUAAGAUGUUUUUAAUACUAUUACAGUUUAAAUGAACUCACUUUAAUAUAUUUCAACAUGUAAUUAAUUCAUAUGAUGACAAAGCUGAUUAUCUAUCCGUCUAGCCAAAAUGUAUACCGUCACUUUUCACAAUUUAAUACCAUUGCUGACUAAAACGUAUUCAUUUAUUUUCAAUUUUUGUGAAAUUAAAAUGUUUUAUUAUCAGUUAAAAGAAAACGGGUUUUUGCCAAGAACAUGGGAUUUCAAGAAUAUUUAUGCAAAGCUUUACGCAAAGCACUGUACAUAUUAACGCCUGCUUUCACUAUGCACUUUUUCUUCUUUCAGAUCAUUGUUUCAGAGCUGUCUGAUCUUAGAGUGUAAAAAUGAAGCUGAACAUUAAAAUAUUCUAAAGCAACCUUUUUUGUAGACUAUCAUAAUGCUGUUACCUGAGAAGUGCUAAAUGAACUAUUCUGCUCUUUUCAAUUUUUAUUCUCAGCAUGGCUGAAAAGAUAGCAGUCUAAAACUAGGAGGAUGGGACCAGCCGUUCUCAUUUUGUUAACAAAAUGUACUUAAUGGCUAUUGUGGAAUCAUAUUUCAAUGGCUGAAGUGAUUGGCCUGAUAUUAGAAACCAUUUUAUUACAUGAAUGUUUAUAGUAGUGAUGUUAAUUUGUAAUUCAGAAAGCUCCCUGAUAAUACUCUGUAAUCUGUAAUGCAGUAACAGUGCCCCCUUUUGAGUGGAGAGGCCCUUGAUCUGUAACCUUAAAAUAGACCACGAGUCUGUGGGUGAGUGUGUGUGAGCUCCUAUAGUUUCUGUAAGGC